GUGCUCGCUUUGGCAGCACAUAUACUCAAAUCGAAAUGAUACAGAGAUUAGCGUGGCCCCUGCACAAGGAUGACCGUAGAGUUCAGUGGCUGCACAGCAGAAU
ensembl:snRNA U6 U6 spliceosomal RNA